GGCUCUUUAGCUCAGUUGGUAGAGCAUCGGAUUGAAGCUCCGUGUGUCCCCAGUUCGAGUCUGGGAGGGGCCACCA
rnacentral:tRNA from 1 species